rnacentral:rRNA from 1 species
UAGAAACGGCGAGUGAAGCGGCAACAGCUCAAAUUUGAAAUCUGGCCUUCGGGUCCGAGUUGUAAUUUGUAGAGGAUGCUUUGGGCGCGGUGCCUUCCGAGUUCCUUGGAACAGGACGCCUUAGAGGGUGAGAGCCCCGUACGGUUGGAUACCAAGCCUAUGUAAAGCUCCUUCGACGAGUCGAGUAGUUUGGGAAUGCUGCUCUAAAUGGGAGGUAAAUUUCUCCUAAAGCUAAAUACCGGCCAGAGACCGAUAGCGCACAAGUAGAGUGAUCGAAAGAUGAAAAGUACUUUGAAAAGAGGGUUAAAUAGCACGUGAAAUUGUUGAAAGGGAAGCGUUUAUGACCAGACUUGAGCUAGGCGGAUCAUCCGGUGUUCUUCACCGGUGCACUUCGCCUGGCUUAGGCCAGCAUCGAUUUCGGCAGGGGGAUAAAGACCGUGGGAAAGUAGCUCCCUCCGGGGAGUGUUAUAGCCCUAGGUGUAAUACCCUUGCCGGGAUCGAGGUUCGCGCUUCGGCAUGGAUGCUGGCGUAAUGGUCAUCAACGACCCGUCUUGAAACACGGACCAAGGAGUCGAACAUUUAUGCGAGUGUUUGGGUGUUAAACCCUCACGCGUAAUGAAAGUGAACGGAGGUGAGAGCCCUUUAGGGUGCAUCAUCGACCGAUCCUGAUGUCUUCGGAUGGAUUUGAGUAAGAGCAUAGCUGUUCGGACCCGAAAGAUGGUGAACUAUGCGUGGAUAGGGUGAAGCCAGAGGAAACUCUGGUGGAGGCUCGCAGCGGUUCUGACGUGCAAAUCGAUCGUCAAAUCUGCGCAUGGGGGCGAAAGACUUAUCGAACUAUCUAGUAGUGGUAC